UGCAGUCGAGCGGUAGCACAGGAGAGCUUGCUCUCUGGGUGACGAGCGGCGGACGGGUGAGUAAUGUCUGGGAAACUGCCUGAUGGAGGGGGAUAACUACUGGAAACGGUAGCUAAUACCGCAUAACGUCUACGGACCAAAGUGGGGGACCUUCGGGCCUCACGCCAUCAGAUGUGCCCAGAUGGGAUUAGCUAGUAGGUGGGGUAAUGGCUCACCUAGGCGACGAUCCCUAGCUGGUCUGAGAGGAUGACCAGCCACACUGGAACUGAGACACGGUCCAGACUCCUACGGGAGGCAGCAGUGGGGAAUAUUGCACAAUGGGCGCAAGCCUGAUGCAGCCAUGCCGCGUGUGUGAAGAAGGCCUUAGGGUUGUAAAGCACUUUCAGCGAGGAGGAAGGGUUCAGUGUUAAUAGCACUGUGCAUUGACGUUACUCGCAGAAGAAGCACCGGCUAACUCCGUGCCAGCAGCCGCGGUAAUACGGAGGGUGCAAGCGUUAAUCGGAAUUACUGGGCGUAAAGCGCACGCAGGCGGUUUGUUAAGUCAGAUGUGAAAUCCCCGCGCUUAACGUGGGAACUGCAUUUGAAACUGGCAAGCUAGAGUCUUGUAGAGGGGGGUAGAAUUCCAGGUGUAGCGGUGAAAUGCGUAGAGAUCUGGAGGAAUACCGGUGGCGAAGGCGGCCCCCUGGACAAAGACUGACGCUCAGGUGCGAAAGCGU
rnacentral:rRNA from 1 species